rnacentral:lncRNA from 1 species
UUUAUUUUGAGAGAGACGACCAUUAUGUAAUGAAGCGAGAGAUAAUUUUGCUUAUAUAUAAAUAUGUAACACCUUUCACUACGCUUGAAAAUACGAAUCGUGAUGAAAUUAUUAAACCUUACACCAUAGUUGAUUAUGAGAACUAUGGUGAUAUAUAAGGUCAAGUCCAUUAUGUCACGAAUUGGGAUUCAAACCCUUUCACUCUAGAUACAUUUCACUACGGUUGUUAACUAUGACUGUAGUGAAA